AAGUCGUAACAAGGUCUCCGUUGGUGAACCAGCGGAGGGAUCAUUACCGAGUUUACAACUCCCAAACCCAAUGUGAACGUUACCAAACUGUUGCCUCGGCGGGAUCUCUGCCCCGGGUGCGUCGCAGCCCGGACCAAGGCGCCCGCCGGAGGACCAACCAAAACUCCUAUUGUAUACCCCCUCGCGGGUUUUUUAUAAUCUGAGCCUUCUCGGCGCCUCUCGUAGGCGUUUCGAAAUGAAUCCAAA
rnacentral:misc_RNA from 1 species